AUGAGGCAUAUAUCCUCUUUGCUUGCGAUAGUUUAUCAAUCAUUACAUGUCCGAGCACCAUUGAUGACACUUAUUGAACAAGAUAUCAUUAAAAGCUCAAACUUAAAGAACUCCAAUCGAUAUGUAAAUGAUUGCACCAUUAAAAUGUUGAAUGCUAUACUGUUGGCUGGGGAGACGGAAGGACAAGAACAUCCAUCUUCACAUCUUAAUCCAUUCUCCAAAAAUGUUAAAGAUUUUGUAAAGACUGAUUUGCGAGGCUGA